GUCUUUAAACAGUGUGGUAGUGUGACCGUGUAUAGGAUAAGUGGUAGUGAUUGAUGUUGAUAACAACCAAUCAGGGGCCAGUGCUGCCUAUUUUAGAGCCGGUUGGCUGUGUUAGGUGAUGUGUCACCUCCAGCCCCGCCUUUCUUGUUCCGCGUUUGUUGACAUCUGUUUCAGCCUGGUUUUUCGUUGGUUUUCCUGUUGGUUGCCAUGGAGUUAAUGACUGCCACCCAUUCAGCUCGCUUGUAGCAUAAAUGGAGAUGACUAAUUCGUAAUACAUGAGUGUACUACUCCCGGCUUGGAACUGAGGUCCCAUGGGUGCAGGAUCUUGAGGUGGUGGUGGUGUCACUGCACUUGACAUUUUUGCUGUGGACGGUUUGGGAAGUGUGGAGUGUGUGGAUCUAGUGUGGUGUGUGUGUGUGGAAGUGUGCUUUUUGA